AAUAUUUAUCUACGUAAAAUUACAGGGAGCAAGCUUCAAACUCUGUUUUGUUUGUUGGCCUACCUGACAACAUUGUUCUCUUUACUCUUUAGGAACUUUUUUAUUGACAAUUUGACACGAAUACGUUGAUAAGGUUGAAGCAACCAAGCUCGUCCAUGACCUUGGCAAAGCCUGCCAAGACUGGUUCUUCUUCAUGGUAAAUGCAUUAAUAUGGUUUGCAUUAUCCUUUUUAUACCUCUGCAUAUAUAGUCGAUCCGUGUAUGUAUAGUGAGGUUGAUGGCUGUCAGGUGAUCAAUCAUGGUGUGCCCGAGAGCCAGAUUAAGGCGAUGAUCAAGGCUUGCGGUGAAUUCUUCAAUCUGACGGAGGAGGAGAUCAAGCAGGAAUUUGCAGGGAAGCAUGUUCUGGACUCCAUCAGGUGCGACACCAGCUUUAAUGCUUUUGUGGAUAAAGUAUUAUUUUGGAGGGAUUUUCUCAAGGUUUUUGUACAUCCCAAGUUUCAUUCACCGAGUAAACCCUCUGGAUUCAGAUAUCUCAUUGGAGUACAGCAAAAGAACCCGAAAUCUAGCUAGAGACAUGCUGAAGGAAUAUCAGCGAGCUUGGGAUUAGAAGACGAAUAUAUGGAAAAGGCCAUGAAUUUGGAAUUAAUCAGGUUUACAGAUCCUGGCUGCAAACUUGUAUCCGCCAUGUCCAGAGCCAAAAGUAGCAAUGGGCAUGCCCUUCUCAUUCCGAUCACGGCCUCUUGACCCUACUCAUACAUAAUGGGAUCUCCAGCCUUCAGGCGCAGCAUAAUGGAAACUGGGUCAAUGUAAAUUUCCUUCCCAAUGCAUUCAUGGUUAACGUUGAUGACCACUUGGAGGUGAGGUGAGUCGGCACAACAAAGCAAAGCCAAUCCCAUGGUGGAUAGCAAACACUCCUCCA